AGUGAACGCUGGCGGUAGGCCUAACACAUGCAAGUCGAACGGCAGCACAGUAAGAGCUUGCUCUUACGGGUGGCGAGUGGCGGACGGGUGAGGAAUACAUCGGAAUCUACUUUUUCGUGGGGGAUAACGUAGGGAAACUUACGCUAAUACCGCAUACGACCUACGGGUUAAAGCAGGGGAUCUUCGGACCUUGCGCGAUUGAAUGAGCCGAUGUCGGAUUAGCUAGUUGGCGGGGUAAAGGCCCACCAAGGCGACGAUCCGUAGCUGGUCUGAGAGGAUGAUCAGCCACACUGGAACUGAGACACGGUCCAGACUCCUACGGGAGGCAGCAGUGGGGAAUAUUGGACAAUGGGCGCAAGCCUGAUCCAGCCAUACCGCGUGGGUGAAGAAGGCCUUCGGGUUGUAAAGCCCUUUUGUUGGGAAAGAAAAGCAGCAGGUUAAUACCCCGAUGUUCUGACGGUACCCAAAGAAUAAGCACCGGCUAACUUCGUG
rnacentral:rRNA from 1 species